rnacentral:lncRNA from 12 species
CUGCUCUCUUUAGCUGUUAAUUCUAUUCCUGUAAACAGAGUAACUCUGAGGAAUUUCUACGUGCUUUCUAUCUAAUCUGCAGUCCUCACUGAACUUCCAACAAGAACAAGAACAAUGGUGUACACACAGUUCCUACAUUCAUACCAGUUUCUACCACCCCCCCCCCUUUUGUGUGUGUGUUGAACUCUAGCCAAACACUAAAUUACUUUGGGAAGUAAGGUAGAAGAGAAAAAAAGCCCAAAGAUGGCAUUUGGCCUCAAUUUUAUAAGCAUAUUCAAUCUUAAUUUAGACAAAGAGAAAAAAAGUUUUUUAGCGUGAGAAUCCUGAGAACUGGAAAGAAGUGUGUUUUUCAGACAAGUCUGUCUUUGUAAGUUUGCAGGUGACUGUACUCCUGUUUCGAUGCAGGUGGGGCUGUUGAUCAAGUGAGUAUGUGUAUGUGUGUGUCUAUAAAUCCACACCCAUUUUUAACCAGAAAUAUCCAGACUAUACUUCCAGCAAGAACAUUUGCUAGUUCAGUCUUUAAGGUACAAGAUGACCAGUCCAUAAGCUUCCUGUGAGGAAUUUCCAAGAAGCCACGAUGUUACAUACAGUCAGUUUUGGUCCUCUGUCUCUCCUUUAUCAGAGUUCUUUCCAACUUUGCCAUUGUGAUCAACGAAAACAGAGAAUUCCCCAGACACUCUCAAGAGGUACUAGAGGAUGGGGAGAUGACAUCACUUGGGUAAAGACUUGUGAAGAAGAUCUUUCAUAUUCUAAACAGAUCCUUCUUAACAGUCAGAGCUGAUAUAAGUGGAAGAUACUCUAAUAGACUGUAUACAUAUGAACCUCAGGACUCACCAGCAUGUAAGUAUUCACAAAUUGUCUUGAACAGUGGUAGGAGCUUUGUUUGACUGUUAGUAGGUCAGUGAUGCCCUACAUCUACCUAGUCCCACACACAGCGCUAUUCACAAAUGAGAAUCACCAGAGUCAGUGGUGGAGGUAGUGUUUAAAAAUGAAACACACAGCUCCUAUCACAAUAAGAAUUUCUGGGGCACCUCAAAAUCUUUUGUUGUUGUUGUUGUUGUUGUUGUUUUUAACAGAGAUGUCAAAUACUUUUUAUGAUCUCUAAAUCUGGGACCACCAAGAAUAGACUACAUGUUAGAAUUAAACUUUAAGGGAGCCAGUCCAUUCUUGUGAUAUUAAAGAUCAUAUGUAAUUUCCUCAAACUGAUAAUAAUUAAAACUUUUUAUCUUCUUGUAAUGUUUAUACGCAAGAAGAUACAGUCUGUCUUUGGACUUGAAUUUUUAUAACAUUCAGUAUCGAGUAUAUGCAAUCUGAUCACUAUACUUGUCAGAUGCAUCAAUAAUCAUAGAAAAUGAUCUAUUAGACAGACACUCCCUCAAAAAUCUCUCUGAUUUAAUUGUUUAACAUAAAGACAAUUCAUUAUCAGCUCUGAAUGGUCUAAUCCCUAAAUUUAUGUGUAUACCAUUGGCAGACCGUUCUUUAAUGUUGUAGAUAAAUCCUGAUGUUUUCAUAGUAUUAAUUUAAAGGGGCCAAUUUCAGGACACCUGGGUGGCUCAAGUGGUUAACAUCUGCCUUUGGCUCAGGUCAUGAUCCCAGGGUCCUGGGAUCUAGCCCCUCAUUGAGACUGGCAUCAAGCUCCCUGCUCAGCUCAGCAGGAGCCUGCUUCUCCCUCUCGCCUGCUUGUGUUACCUCUCUCUCUCAAAUAAAUAAACCUUUAAAAAAAAAGGGUUUUAUUUA